rnacentral:snRNA from 1 species
AUCACUUGCCUUUUGGCUUCUGUUUAUCUAUAUCUCAAUGUUAAACACAUUUAACAAUGAAUUCACUUUAAGUCUUGUGAUUAUUAAUGAAUUAAUUUUUCGAAGGGGGAGUUCUGACUCCACGCAUUGGCCUGGUAUAGCAGUACCUCCAGGAUCGGUGCACCCUUC